rnacentral:rRNA from 1 species
GGGGAAUAUUGCACAAUGGGCGAAAGCCUGAUGCAGCAACGCCGCGUGAGUGAUGAAGGCCUUCGGGUUGUAAAGCCCUUUUGUUGGGACAGAAAAGCAGCCGGCCAAUACCCGGUUGUUCUGACGGUACCCAAAGAAUAAGCACCGGCUAACUUCGUGCCAGCAGCCGCGGUAAUACGAAGGGUGCAAGCGUUACUCGGAAUUACUGGGCGUAAAGCGUGCGUAGGUGGUGGUUUAAGUCCGUUGUGAAAGCCCUGGGCUCAACCUGGGAACUGCAGUGGAUACUGGAUCACUAGAGUGUGGCAGAGGGUAGUGGAAUUCCCGGUGUAGCAGUGAAAUGCGUAGAGAUCGGGAGGAACAGCAGUGGCGAAGGCGACUGCCUGGGCCAACACUGACACUGAGGCACGAAAGCGUGGGGAGCAAACA